AUUUUGCACAUUAUUAACUCCUGUUUGCAAACCCGGUCCGAGUGGUUUCCUUGUGGAAAUCACGAUCACUUUAUAUUGGAAAAUAUGCGGGUGGGCUUGCGCGUGCGUGCGUGCGUGCAGCCCACCGUGCAAACAAGGCUCGCGCUCGCUCUCAAACGCCGCACGCUCGAAAUUCCUCCAAGGAACCUCUGCGAGCUUUUCUUUUUUCAUCACGCGCGAGCUAAAAAUAGAAACGGGGUUGGAUCGUGAUCCAGAAAUAGAUAGGGGGCAUCACUCCUAUAAAAGGCAUACCAUUCAAGAGUACAGUGAGAGAAGAGAAAAGCCGGAGCAGAUUUAAUGGACAAAUAUGGUUUUUAGUCCAUUUUUUAAAAGCUUAUUUCCGUGCUUUUAUCAGAAUCUCUGCAGCUACAACGGCUCCCCACUUCACACGCAAAUACAGCACACAACACCUGGAGACAGCAACAGUGACCAAACAACAUCUAGGUCAGCAAGUGGACUCUACACUGAGUGGGAAAUCCUGUAAAAAAUGUAAACAAAAAUUUGCAUCAUAUUCUGUUUUUACUUUUGUGAAAUGUUCAAGAAUGUCUGCCUUUUCAUUUUUAAACUGAACCUCAACUGAGUCUAUUAAGACAUCAAGAGUUUGUUUUCCUAUCUAGCUAUUAAUGAUGUAAAUACUAAAAAUUCCACUAGAAAGCAAAUUAAUUUGUCUCAUCUUAUUUUUGCAACGUGUGAUUAAGUGUUCUAUUUAUGCGCUGUAUUAGUGGUUGGUUUCUGAAUAUUCAGGCAAAUGAUUUAACCUUUUGUGUUCUUUUUAUUUUUUACCUUUCACACAUUACCGCAUCUUUUAUUAAACUCUCCAUACAUAACAUUUUUUAUAAGUAACCUGUACAAACCUUAAAUGUGGUUUAAGGUUUAGCACUGAACAAUUUAUACAACAUCUGAAUGUUGUAUAAAUCUGAAUGUUUUCUUUAUUUCUCUAACAAAUUGAGCACAUGAUUUUUUCAUAAUAUGUCGCUGACGUAAGUGACUGAACAGUUCAUUAAUCUUAAAGCUGCUUUAAAUAGCUAUGAGGCUGAUAUUUUACCCAUGUCGAGGAGCAUGGGCAGUAAACUCCCCUCACUUGUUUCUAGAAAUGGUCAAAUUUAUCCAAUUCCUCACAAACUAAGGAGCGUCAUGUUUUGUGAUUCAUCUCUUUCUUUACAAUUUUUCAUCUCAUACACGUCAGUGUCUGCACAUCGAUCACAAUCCCUUGAAAAAGCAGGGGAAUUAAAGUAUGUUCUUAUCAUGUGACAAUUAAAUGGAUUUAAAACUUGUGUCUCUUGAAAUAAACAAUGUUUAGAAGCUGAAAAUGGUUUUUCAUUCUUAUUGUUUUUUUUGCAGGGUUAAAAUGUAUUUUCAUUAUGCUCCUUUUUUCAUGAGAAAAUCCAUCAGAACGUGUUUUAACUCUUCAUAAAUAAAAACAAGAACUAUGAAUCAACAUUAACUGUGAUGACUGUGAUAAUCUUUGACACUAUCCAGUCUUUUUGCUUCUCUUUUAUUAUUUAAUUCUUUAUUUCUGUACACAGUAUGAGCUUGGAUUUUAAUUAGAAGCAGUUUGACGGUGCUAGGAGUGUACAAGUAUCUGGAUGGGAGACAUUCUGAUCAUCAUAGUUAUUUACAAGCAUCAGUCUAAAUUGAUUGAAACCAUGCAUGCAUGUGUCCAAUUGGUCUCUCUAAACUGCCCUCAGGAGUGAAUGUGCGUCGUGCAUGUCUAUGACAGACUGACAAUCUGACCAGGGUGUGACCUACCUCUCGCCCAUUAACCACUAGAGAUAGGCCACCCUUACCCCAGCGACCCUGCAAGAAUAAGCAGGGGUAUACAAUGGAUGGAUGGGUAAAUGGGUAGAUGGCUGGAUGAAUGUGUUCUAGGUGGAAAGACAUUCUGCUGCACAGUUAAUGGGAUUGCUGUGUUAAGCUCUCGCAAAGAUGUGACAUGGUACUAAUGUCACCAAAGACCAGCAUGUAUCAAACACUGAAUUGAAAAAACAAAAUAUAUCUCACUAUUUUGGGCUCAGUAGAAAGCAGUUGUAGUAUGAAUCUUAUUUUUUUUUCUCCAAUAAGGUUGGUGACAUAAAACUGAUACAUCAGUAGUUAUGUGAAUGCCCAUCUUUGUUUUAAAAUCUACAUGUAUGGUAAAUGUAUUUACCCCUGUGUUUUCAAUCAAAAAGUGAAAACACCCUUAUUUGUGUUUUCAUAUCUCGCUCUGCUUUUUUUUUUUUUUUUUUACUUAUUCUUUUUGCUGUUAUUAUUAUGGUUAUUAUUUAAGUGUGUGCAGUUGUGUAUAGAUUGCAUUAUUAUUCAAAUAAAAAAUAUAUAUUUUUAAACUUUUGUAUUAUUGGUGAGCUCACUUUCUCAACUCUACUGAUGCAUAAAUGCAAAAGUAAUAUAGAUUAAACACUGCUAACAUGUAAUCACUGUUGAUGUGAAUUCUGAUUAAUAAUAAAAAAAAACCAGAAGGAGAUCCAGAUCAACACAAACAUUUUACACAAAUUUAGGAGAUAUAAUAUCCACAUUUGCUUUUGUGGUUACUACUGUGAAGAUGUAAAUGAAAGUUAGUGGAUAUUAUGUUUAUUUUAUUGAUUUUGUUCUAAGUUGAGUUGAAUUUAUGCAAUGAAGAGUAUAUAAAAACAUGA